UACGAAGGGGGCUAGCGUUGCUCGGAAUCACUGGGCGUAAAGGGUGCGUAGGCGGGUCUUUAAGUCAGGGGUGAAAUCCUGGAGCUCAACUCCAGAACUGCCUUUGAUACUGAGGAUCUUGAGUCCGGAAGAGGUGAGUGGAACUGCGAGUGUAGAGGUGAAAUUCGUAGAUAUUCGCAAGAACACCAGUGGCGAAGGCGGCUCACUGGUCCGGUACUGACGCUGAGGCACGAAAGCGUGGGGAGCAAACAGG
rnacentral:rRNA from 1 species